GAGUUUGAUCAUGGCUCAGGAUGAACGCUGGCGGCGUGCCUAAUACAUGCAAGUCGUGCGGAAACACUUCGGGUGUCGAGCGGCGGACGGCUGAGUAACGCGUAGGAACGUACCCCAAAGUGAGGGAUAGCCCACCGAAAGGUGGAUUAAUACCGCAUAGUAUCUUCGGAUUAAAGCUUUCGAGCGCUUUGGGAGCGGCCUGCGUAUGAUUAGCUUGUUGGUGAGGUAAUGGCUCACCAAGGCGAUGAUCAUUAGUUGGUCUGAGAGGAUGAUCAGCCAGACUGGGACUGAGACACGGCCCAGACUCCUACGGGAGGCAGCAGUAGGGAAUUUUGCGCAAUGGACGAAAGUCUGACGCAGCAACGCCGCGUGCAGGAGGAAGGCCUUCGGGUUGUAAACUGCUUUUCUCUGUGACGAUUUUGACGGUAGCAGAGGAAUAAGGAUCGGCUAACUCCGUGCCAGCAGCCGCGGUCAUACGGAGGAUCCAAGCGUUAUCCGGAAUUACUGGGCGUAAAGAGUUGCGUAGGUGGCAUGGCAAGCAAGCAGUGAAAGGUCACGGCUCAACCGUGAAUACAUUGUUUGAACUGCUAAGCUAGAGCACGAGAGAGGUAGCUGGAAUUCCUAGUGUAGGAGUGAAAUCCGUAGAUAUUAGGAGGAACACCGAUGGCGUAGGCAGGCUACUGGCUCGUUGCUGACACUAAGGCACGAAAGCGUGGGGAGCGAACGGGAUUAGAUACCCCGGUAGUCCACGCCGUAAACUAUGGAUGCUAGCUGUUGGUGGUAUCGACUCCACCAGUAGCGAAGCUAACGCGUUAAGCAUCCCGCCUGUGGAGUACGGUCGCAAGACUAAAACAUAAAGGAAUUGACGGGGACCCGCACAAGCGGUGGAGUGUGUUGUUUAAUUCGAUGAUAAGCGAAGAACCUUACCAAGGCUUGACAUCCUGUGAAGGUCUCCGAAAGGAGACUGUGCCAUUUGGAACGCAGUGACAGGUGAUGCAUGGCCGUCGUCAGCUCGUGUCGUGAGAUGUUUGGUUAAGUCCAUUAACGAGCGCAACCCUUAUAGUCAGUUGAAUUUCUCUGGCUAGACUGCCCCGGCAACGGGGAGGAAGGAGGGGAUGAUGUCAGGUCAGUAUUUCCCUUACGCCUUGGGCGACAAACACACUACAAUGGCCGGUACAAAGGGCAGCCAAGUCGCAAGACGGAGCAAAUCCCAUCAAAGCCGGUCUCAGUUCGGAUCGGGGGCUGAAACCCGCCCCCGUGAAGCUGGAAUCGCUAGUAACGGUAGGUCAGCAUACUACCGUGAAUACGUUCCCGGGUCUUGUACACACCGCCCGUCAAGUCAUGAAAGUCGCCAAUACCUGACGUGUCAGCUUUGACUGGCCCUAAGGUAGGGGAGAUGAUUGGGACUAAGUCGUAACAAGGUAACCGUA
rnacentral:rRNA from 1 species